rnacentral:rRNA from 2 species
CUACGGGGGGCUGCAGUGGGGAAUAUUGGACAAUGGGCGAAAGCCUGAUCCAGCCAUGCCGCGUGUGUGAAGAAGGUCUUCGGAUUGUAAAGCCCUUUAAGUUGGGAGGAAGGGCAGCUAAUUAAUACUUGGUUGUUUUGACGUUACCGACAGAAUAAGCACCGGCUAACUUUGUGCCAGCAGCCGCGGUAAUACAGAGGGUGCAAGCGUUAAUCGGAAUUACUGGGCGUAAAGCGCGCGUAGGUGGUUUGUUAAGUCGAAUGUGAAAUCCCCGGGCUCAACCUGGGAACUGCAUCCAAAACUGGCAAGCUAGAGUAUGGUAGAGGGUAGGUGGAAUUCUGUGUGUAGCAGUGAAAUGCGUAGAUAUCGGAAGGAACAUCCAGUGGCGAAGGCAGACUCACCUGAGCUCAUACUGACA